GACGAACGCUGGCGGCGUGCCUAAUACAUGCAAGUCGAACGAGAGCGACCGGUGCUUGCACUGGUCAAUCUAGUGGCGAACGGGUGAGUAACACGUGGGUAACCUGCCCAUCAGAGGGGGAUAACAUCCGGAAACGGAUGCUAAAACCGCAUAGGUCUUCGAGCCGCAUGGCUUGAAGAGGAAAAGAGGCGCAAGCUUCUGCUGAUGGAUGGACCCGCGGUGCAUUAGCUAGUUGGUGAGGUAACGGCUCACCAAGGCCGUGAUGCAUAGCCGACCUGAGAGGGUGAUCGGCCACAUUGGGACUGAGACACGGCCCAAACUCCUACGGGAGGCAGCAGUAGGGAGUCUUCCGCAAUGGACGCAAGUCUGACGGAGCAACGCCGCGUGAGUGAAGAAGGUUUUCGGAUCGUAAAACUCUGUUGUUAGAGAAGAACAAGUGCUAGAGUAACUGUUAGCGCCUUGACGGUAUCUAACCAGAAAGCCACGGCUAACUACGUG
rnacentral:rRNA from 1 species